UACGUAGGGCGCAAGCGUUGUCCGGAAUUAUUGGGCGUAAAGAGCUCGUAGGCGGUUUGUCGCGUCUGCUGUGAAAACCUCAGGCUCAACCUGGGGCUUGCAGUGGGUACGGGCAGACUAGAGUGCGGUAGGGGGUGACUGGAAUUCCUGGUGUAGCGGUGGAAUGCGCAGAUAUCAGGAGGAACACCGAUGGCGAAGGCAGGUCACUGGGCCGCAACUGACGCUGGAGGAGCGAAAGCAUGGGGAGCGAACAGG
rnacentral:rRNA from 1 species